rnacentral:rRNA from 1 species
AAGAGUGGCGAACGGGUGAGUAACACGUGGGAAACCUACCUCUUAGCAGGGGAUAACAUUUGGAAACAGAUGCUAAUACCGUAUAACAAUGACAACCGCAUGGUUGUUAUUUAAAAGAUGGUUCUGCUAUCACUAAGAGAUGGUCCCGCGGUGCAUUAGCUAGUUGGUAAGGUAAUGGCUUACCAAGGCGAUGAUGCAUAGCCGAGUUGAGAGACUGAUCGGCCACAAUGGGACUGAGACACGGCCCAUACUCCUACGGGAGGCAGCAGUAGGGAAUCUUCCACAAUGGGCGAAAGCCUGAUGGAGCAACGCCGCGUGUGUGAUGAAGGGUUUCGGCUCGUAAAACACUGUUGUAAGAGAAGAAUGACAUUGAGAGUAACUGUUCAAUGUGUGACGGUAUCUUACCAGAAAGGAACGGCUAAAUACGUGCCAGCAGCCGCGGUAAUACGUAUGUUCCAAGCGUUAUCCGGAUUUAUUGGGCGUAAAGCGAGCGCAGACGGUUAUUUAAGUCUGAAGUGAAAGCCCUCAGCUCAACUGAGGAAUUGCUUUGGAAACUGGAUGACUUGAGUGCAGUAGAGGAAAGUGGAACUCCAUGUGUAGCGGUGAAAUGCGUAGAUAUAUGGAAGAACACCAGUGGCGAAGGCGGCUUUCUGGACUGUAACUGACGUUGAGGCUCGAAAGUGUGGGUAGCAAACAGGAUUAGA